rnacentral:rRNA from 1 species
UACAGAGGUGGCAAGCGUUGUUCGGAAUUACUGGGCGUAAAGGGCGCGUAGGCGGUUCGGUAAGUCCUGUGUGAAAUCCCUCGGCUCAACUGAGGAACUGCACGGGAGACUGCCGGGCUUGAGUUUGGGAGAGGGAUGCGGAAUUCCAGGUGUAGCGGUGAAAUGCGUAGAUAUCUGGAGGAACACCGGUGGCGAAGGCGGCAUCCUGGACCAACACUGACACUGAGGAGCGAAAGCCAGGGGAGCAAACGGG